UAGCUAGUUGGUGAGGUAAAGGCUCACCAAGGCGACGAUCUGUAGCGGGUCUGAGAGGAUGAUCCGCCACACUGGAACUGAGACACGGUCCAGACUCCUACGGGAGGCAGCAGUGGGGAAUUUUGGACAAUGGGGGCAACCCUGAUCCAGCCAUGCCGCGUGAGUGAAGAAGGCCUUCGGGUUGUAAAGCUCUUUCGGCCGGGAAGAAAUCGUAUGGGUUAAUACCCUGUGCGGAUGACGGUACCGGCAUAAGAAGCACCGGCUAACUACGUGCCAGCAGCCGCGGUAAUACGUAGGGUGCGAGCGUUAAUCGGAAUUACUGGGCGUAAAGCGUGCGCAGGCGGUUUUGUAAGACAGGCGUGAAAUCCCCGGGCUCAACCUGGGAACUGCGCUUGUGACUGCAAGGCUAGAGUACGGCAGAGGGGGGUGGAAUUCCACGUGUAGCAGUGAAAUGCGUAGAGAUGUGGAGGAACACCAAUGGCGAAGGCAGCCCCCUGGGUCGAUACUGACGCUCAUGCACGAAAGCGUGGGUAGCAAACAGGAUUAGAUACCCUGGUAGUCCACGCCCUAAACGAUGUCAACUAGGUGUUGGGUGGGUAAAACCAUUUAGUACCCGAGCUAACGCGUGAAGUUGACCGCCUGGGGAGUACGGCCGCAAGGUUAAAACUCAAAGGAAUUGACGGGGACCCGCACAAGCGGUGGAUGAUGUGGAUUAAUUCGAUGCAACGCGAAAAACCUUACCUACCCUUGACAUGUCCAGAAGCCUGAAGAGAUUUGGGUGUGCCCGAAAGGGAGCUGGAACACAGGUGCUGCAUGGCUGUCGUCAGCUCGUGUCGUGAGAUGUUGGGUUAAGUCCCGCAACGAGCGCAACCCUUGUCGUUAAUUGCCAUCAUUUAGUUGGGCACUUUAACGAGACUGCCGGUGACAAACCGGAGGAAGGUGGGGAUGACGUCAAGUCCUCAUGGCCCUUAUGGGUAGGGCUUCACACGUCAUACAAUGGUCGGUACAAAGGGUUGCCAAGCCGCGAGGUGGAGCCAAUCCCAGAAAGCCGAUCGUAGUCCGGAUUGCAGGCUGCAACUCGCCUGCAUGAAGUCGGAAUCGCUAGUAAUCGUGGAUCAGCAUGUCACGGUGAAUACGUUCCCGGGUCUUGUACACACCGCCCGUCACACCAUGGGAGCGGGUUCCGCCAGAAGUAGGUAGCCUAACCGCAAGGGGGGCGCUUACCACGGCGGGGUUCGUGACUGGGGUGAAGUCGUAACAAGGUAGCCGUAGGGGAACCUGUGGCUG
rnacentral:rRNA from 1 species